GAAGUUGCCCAGGCGACCGCGUCAGGUCAGCACCUGAUGAGGAAAGUCCGAACUCCACAGGGCAGGACGCUCCGUAACACGGAGGAGGGGUGACCCUACGGAAAGUGUCACAGAAAACACACAGCCGAUGGUCAGGCAUUUGCCUGAAACAGGCGAAGGUGCAAAGGUGAGGUAAGAGCUCACCGUUUUGGCAGCGAUGCCAAAAGCAUGACAAACCCCGUCCGGAGCAAGACCAAAUAAGUUCCGCUAAUCCCGGCCGCGCACGCGGCUGUGGAUUGCAAGGUGGCCCGCCUUGGAUUCUCGCUUCGCCGAGAAUGGCGGAACGGGUAGGUCGCUUGACCCCGUCAGCAAUGGCGGGGCUAGAUAAAUGGUCGCCUCCUCCGGGAGACCGGAGAAGACAGAAUUCGGCUUAUCGGGCAACUUCGGGC
rnacentral:RNase_P_RNA from 1 species